rnacentral:rRNA from 1 species
UAGGGAAUCUUCGGCAAUGGACGGAAGUCUGACCGAGCAACGCCGCGUGAGUGAAGAAGGUUUUCGGAUCGUAAAGCUCUGUUGUAAGAGAAGAACGAGUGUGAGAGUGGAAAGUUCACACUGUGACGGUAUCUUACCAGAAAGGGACGGCUAACUACGUGCCAGCAGCCGCGGUAAUACGUAGGUCCCGAGCGUUGUCCGGAUUUAUUGGGCGUAAAGCAAGCGCAGGCGGUUAGAUAAGUCUGAAGUUAAAGGCUGUGGCUUAACCAUAGUAGGCUUUGGAAACUGUUUAACUUGAGUGCAAGAGGGGAGAGUGGAAUUCCAUGUGUAGCGGUGAAAUGCGUAGAUAUAUGGAGGAACACCGGUGGCGAAAGCGGCUCUCUGGCUUGUAACUGACGCUGAGGCUCGAAAGCGUGGGGAGCAAACAGGAUUAGAUACCCUGGUAGUCCACGCUGUAAACGAUGAGUGCUAGGUGUUAGACCCUUUCCGGGGUUUAGUGCCGUAGCUAACGCAUUAAGCACUCCGCCUGGGGAGUACGACCGCAAGGUUG